rnacentral:lncRNA from 1 species
CGCCGCCGCCGCAGCACCAUGACGAUGUCGUUGUCUUCGUCGCCGCCGUAGCCCUGUGUCGAUGUCGAUGUCGCCGUCAUCAUCGUCGCCGCAGCCCCAUGUCGAUAUCGUCUUUGUUGCCGCCGCAGCUUCAUGUCCAUGUGUUCCCUACUAGGAACUCACAAAUCCUGGAAUUAAACAAUGAACAAGACCACUACUAGGAACUCAAAAGAACCUGGAGCAUUAGUACAGUAUAACAAUAACCUAUAGAGCACUAAGUAACAAUAGCAGAAACAAAAGCAUAUAGCAGGAGCAUAGUAUAUAUGAAUUAUAAGCAGUACCUAACAGACCAAUCCUAGAAAUUGGGGAAAACCCAACUUAAGAAGGAUACAAUGCUAGGCAUGACCAAAUCUUAUUAUAGAUUCUGAAUCCAAGCUUUUGAGGCAAAUUGCAACAAGCAAAGUUUGUGCACCAAGUAGGAGUAAUUCCCAGGUCAUUCGCAAGCAAGCAAGCAAGCAAGAAGGCAUCAGCAACAGCAGAUUAUUACCAACAUUGUACCCUUUAAUGUGAGGUCAUUUCAAUUUAACUCUUGGUUGCAGAUGUAUUCUUGUUGUAUUACUAGUAAUCAUCAGCAGUAACAGCACUUGGUCAUUAUAAAUAUCACUGGUCAUUAUAGUCGACAUGAAAACUUCCCAUUUACUACUAUAUUUAUAAGGAAAUUUUGUAAUAACAUUCAUUCAUGUGACAUAAGAGACUUAGAGCAACAUUUCAUAUAUUAGUGACAGUUAAGCUGCUGCACUUGCAAAUUUGUAAUACCAAUCAAAUAGAUGUGUUAUGUAUAUUCUCUAGUGCGGUCUUAAAUUGGAAGGAAAUGAGGAGUUUCUUCUUUCAAACCAAUGUAGUGAUUUUAUUGAAAAGUAUGAGCAGGUGCACUUAUAUUAUAUCAAAAAUAUAAAUAUCAGUACAUUUUUUUAUCUCACAUGGAUGUAUUAAGUAAUAAUGUGUGUGUGUGUGUGUGUGUGUGUGUGAAAUAGACUAUUCCAGUAAAUUUAAUCCUUGAUUCCUCCUAAUAAAGAACAAUAUCUUGAGGAACUACAUAGAGUAUCAUACUGUUGCAAAAAUUAAGAGUGAAAAAGUAAAAUUAUAGGCAUAGAAUCUUACAUAUUCGGUAAAGUCAUUUUGAAAGCUAAAUAUUCAGAAGCAUCAAAGAUAGUUAUUUUGAGAAUGGAAAUAUAUACCAUAACUCGUUGGUUGUUUCUUGUAAGAGUAUGUAGAUAGAGUACCAUCUAGAAAGACUGUCAUGGCUCAGUGGUUGUUGCUUGUAAUGCUAUACAGAUAGAGGACCAUCCAAAAAGACUAAGCUAUCAAAAUGUUCCAAUGAUCGCCUUAACUUCACUACCAGUUGUUGAAAUAAUAAAAAUAGUAACCAUAGAAACAAAGUUUGAUGGAUAAAACUGUAGGACUGCAGCAUUGUAGUUGGUAUUAUUUUUUUGCAGUAAGGCCUUACUGGGAAGCUGAAUCACAUAACAUCCUUUCUGUGGAUUGAUAUAUUGUAGACCAAAAUACACUUGUCGUUAGAAAUAAUGCUAUAUGAGAAGAUACAGUUUUAUACCUGAACUAUCAGCGACAUGAUCCUUCCUUCCCAGUCACGAGUAGUAGAUGGACGGGAACCGACUACUCCAAGCUAUCAGCAACACGAGAAUCACAAUCGCGCGGACUGCUGCAACAUAGGCGUGAAUAGAAAAUUUUAUACCUGAACUAAACUCAACUUGAGCAGCACUACAAUGAACGAAAACUGAACUUGACAUUACUGAACUAAUUGUGCAUCUAUCUCCUAACAUCUAAUUUGUUUGUCAUACACUAGUACUACACUGAACUAUAACUGAUAUCCCAAAGCCUGCACUAGUACUACGCUUAAUUAAAACUGAACUUGGCUGUUGCACUUACGAAAAUUCAGAAAACGCACUUGGCAUAGCUAGCCGCAUUACUGAAAAUUCAGAAACGAGCAGCUGCAACAGCGUCCAAGAGCAAUUGGACGUCAGCCAUCCACCGGAAUCCACGGACGACAGCGCCUCAUCGCGACUCCGGCCGGCCACGAACGACGAGCCGACCCGGCGGUCACCAGAUCCGCCGCCGCCACAGCUUCUCCUGCU